AUUGCCUCAGUAACGGCGAGUGAAGCGGCAACAGCUCAAAUUUGAAAUCUGGCCCUAGGCCCGAGUUGUAAUUUGCAGAGGAUGCUUUGGGCGCGGUGCCUUCCGAGUUCCCUGGAACGGGACGCCAUAGAGGGUGAGAGCCCCGUCUGGUCGGACACCAAGCCUAUGUAAAGCUCCUUCGACGAGUCGAGUAGUUUGGGAAUGCUGCUCAAAAUGGGAGGUAUAUGUCUUCUAAAGCUAAAUACCGGCCAGAGACCGAUAGCGCACAAGUAGAGUGAUCGAAAGAUGAAAAGCACUUUGAAAAGAGAGUUAAAUAGCACGUGAAAUUGUUGAAAGGGAAGCGUUUAUGACCAGACUUGGCCCGGUUGAUCAUCCAGCGUUCUCGCUGGUGCACUCUGCCGGUCCAGGCCAGCAUCAGUUCGUCGCGGGGGAUAAAGGUUUCGGGAAUGUGGCUCCUCGGAGUGUUAUAGCCCGUUGCGUAAUACCCUGCGGUGGACUGAGGUCCGCGCUUCUGCAAGGAUGCUGGCGUAAUGGUCAUCAACGACCCGUCUUGAAACACGGACCAAGGAGUCGUCUUCGUAUGCGAGUGUUCGGGUGUAAAACCCCUACGCGUAAUGAAAGUGAACGGAGGUGGGAGCUUCGGCGCACCAUCGACCGAUCCUGAUGUUCUCGGAUGGAUUUGAGUAAGAGCAUACGGGGCCGGACCCGAAAGAAGGUGAACUAUGCCUGUAUAGGGUGAAGCCAGAGGAAACUCUGGUGGAGGCUCGCAGCGGUUCUGACGUGCAAAUCGAUCGUCAAAUAUGGGCAUGGGGGCGAAAGACUAAU
rnacentral:rRNA from 1 species